UGAAGCAGGACAGACGGCCGCCGCCGAGGUAUCGGGGGAGGAAAGUCCGGGCUCCACAGGGCGCGAUGCUGGAUAACGUCCAGCGGGGGUGACCCCAGGGAAAGUGCCACAGAGAGAAGUCCGCCUGCCACGCGCAGGUAAGGGUGAAAGGGUGAGGUAAGAGCUCACCGGGUCCAUCGGUGACGGUGGAUGCCAGGUAAACCCCAUCGGGAGCAAGACCUAAUAGGGGGGCGUCAAGGGUGGCCCGCCCGUGCCUCCGGGUUGGUUGCUUGAGGCUGCCGGUAACGGCAGACCCAGAUGAAUGGCCGUCGCCCGGGAAGGGGUAACCCGACCCGGGAACAGAACCCGGCUUACGGACUGCUUCAGCCA
rfam:Pelobacter propionicus DSM 2379, complete genome.